CCAAUAGCGUAUAUUAAAGUUGUUGCAGUUAAAAAGCUCGUAGUUGAAUUUCGGGAUCAGUACGCUGGUCAUGCCUUUGGUAUGCACUGGUGUCACUGGUUUCUCCCUUCUGAAGAACCGUGAUGUCAUUAAUUUGGUGUCGCGGGGAAUCAGGACUGUUACUUUGAAAAAAUUAGAGUGUUUAAAGCAGGCUCACGCUUGAAUACAUUAGCAUGGAAUAAUGAAAUAGGACGUUUGACCCUAUUUUGUUGGUUUCUAGGAUCGACGUAAUGAUUAAUAGGGAUAGUUGGGGGCAUUAGUAUUCAAUUGUCAGAGGUGAAAGUCUUGGAUUUAUUGAAGACUAACUACUGCGAAAGCAUUUGCCAAGGAUGUUUUCAUUAAUCAAGAACGAAAGUUAGGGGAUCGAAGACGAUCAGAUACCGUCGUAGUCUUAACCAUAAACUAUGCCGACUAGGGAUCGGAUGAUGUUAAUUUUAUAAUGACUCAUUCGGCGCCUUACG
rnacentral:rRNA from 1 species